GGCGGUGUAGCUCAGCUGGCUAGAGCGUACGGUUCAUACCCGUGAGGUCGUGGGUUCGAGUCCUACAAGGUCCACCA
rnacentral:tRNA from 1 species